AAACAUCGCCUCCUGCACUAUACCAUACAUAGGAGGUCCAGCCUGCCCAGUGACUAUGGGUUCAACGGCCGCGGUAUUUUAACCGCGCAAAGGUAGCGUAAUCACUUGUCUUUUAAAUAAAGACCUGUAUGAACGGCUAAACGAAGGCUUAGCUGUCUCCUCUUUUAAAUCAGUGAAAUUGAUCUGCCCGUGCAGAAGCGGGUAUGAUAAUACAAGACGAGAAGACCCUUUGGAGCUUAAGGUACAAAACUCAUCCGCGUCAAGCAACUCAAUAAAAAGCACAAAACCUUACGGAACCUGAAAUUUUACCUUCGGUUGGGGCGACCACGGAGAAGAAUCGAACCUCCAUAGUGGGCUGGGAUAAUUUUCCUAGAACCAAGAGAGACAUCUCUAAGCCACAGAACAUCUGACCAAAUAUGAUCCGGUACCAAAACCGAUCAACGAACCAAGUUACCCCAGGGAUAACAGCGCAAUCCUCUCCCAGAGUUCAUAUCGACGAGGGGGUUUACGACCUCGAUGUUGGAUCAGGACACCCUAAUGGUGCAGCCGCUAUUAAGGGUUCGUUUGUUCAACGAUUAAAGUCCUACGUGA
rnacentral:rRNA from 1 species